rnacentral:rRNA from 1 species
UACGUAGGGGGCAAGCGUUAUCCGGAUUUACUGGGUGUAAAGGGAGCGUAGACGGCGAUGCAAGCCAGAUGUGAAAGCCCGGGGCUCAACCCCGGGACUGCAUUUGGAACUGUGUGACUGGAGUGUCGGAGAGGCAGGCGGAAUUCCUAGUGUAGCGGUGAAAUGCGUAGAUAUUAGGAGGAACACCAGUGGCGAAGGCGGCCUGCUGGACGAUGACUGACGUUGAGGCUCGAAAGCGUGGGGAGCAAACAGG